UACGUAGGGGGCUAGCGUUGUCCGGAUUUAUUGGGCGUAAAGGGCGCGUAGGCGGCCACCGCAAGUCGACUGUGAAAUCUCCGGGCUUAACCCGGAAAGGUCAGCCGAUACUGCGGGGCUAGAGUGCAGAAGGGGCAACUGGAAUUCUCGGUGUAGCGGUGAAAUGCGUAGAUAUCGAGAGGAACACCUGCGGCGAAGGCGGGUUGCUGGGCUGACACUGACGCUGAUGCGCGAAAGCUAGGGGAGCGAACGGG
rnacentral:rRNA from 1 species